rnacentral:rRNA from 1 species
UACGUAGGGUGCGAGCGUUAAUCGGAAUUACUGGGCGUAAAGCGUGCGCAGGCGGCGGUUCAAGUCAGGUGUGAAAUCCCCGGGCUUAACCUGGGAAUUGCGCUUGAAACUAGGUCGCUAGAGUGUGGCAGAGGGGGGUGGAAUUCCACGUGUAGCAGUGAAAUGCGUAGAGAUGUGGAGGAACACCGAUGGCGAAGGCAGCCCCCUGGGUCAACACUGACGCUCAUGCACGAAAGCGUGGGGAGCAAACAGG